rnacentral:rRNA from 1 species
UGGGGAAUAUUGCACAAUGGGCGAAAGCCUGAUGCAGCGACGCCGCGUGAGGGAUGACGGCCUUCGGGUUGUAAACCUCUUUCAGCAGGGAAGAAGCGAAAGUGACGGUACCUGCAGAAGAAGCGCCGGCUAACUACGUGCCAGCAGCCGCGGUAAUACGUAGGGCGCAAGCGUUGUCCGGAAUUAUUGGGCGUAAAGAGCUCGUAGGCGGUUAGUCGCGUCUGCUGUGAAAACUCGAGGCUCAACCUCGGGCUUGCAGUGGGUACGGGCUGACUAGAGUGCGGUAGGGGUGACUGGAAUUCCUGGUGUAGCGGUGGAAUGCGCAGAUAUCAGGAGGAACACCGAUGGCGAAGGCAGGUCACUGGGCCGCAACUGACGCUGAGGAGCGAAAGCAUGGGGAGCGAACAGGAUUAGAUAGCCCUGGUAGUCCAUGCCGUAAA